UGUGACAGCCCUUGGUGGCCCCCACACGUACACUGAGGGGCAGUAACUUAGUCUGAUGAGAGCUGGGAGUACAAAAGUGAGCUUUCAAAUUACCCUUGCACAAAGCUGCACAGCUGUGGACUUCCCACUUCACCUCAGGAUCAGACCCAAAGUUUAAACAAUAUUUAAUAUUGUUAAAUAGAAACAAGUGUUUUCCAGUGCUGCUCUCUGCUGAUAUUUGACCUGUUUGACUCCCUGUUUUAAUGAGAACGGAAACCAACCUUCUGACACUCGGCAGCUGGAGGUGGGAUGGAAGAAGCAAAUCCAGGUGCAGAGAUUAGCAGACAGGU